UACGAAGGGGGCUAGCGUUGCUCGGAAUUACUGGGCGUAAAGGGCGCGUAGGCGGCACUGUUAGUCAGGCGUGAAAGUCCUGGGCUCAACCUGGGAACUGCGCUUGAUACGGCAGAGCUAGAGGAUGGAAGAGGGUCGCGGAAUUCCCAGUGUAGAGGUGAAAUUCGUAGAUAUUGGGAAGAACACCAGUGGCGAAGGCGGCUCACUGGCCCGAUACUGACGCUGAGGCACGAAAGCGUGGGGAGCAAACAGG
rnacentral:rRNA from 1 species